rnacentral:rRNA from 1 species
UUGGUCCUACGGGGGGCAGCAGUCGGGAAUAUUGCGCAAUGGAGGAAACUCUGACGCAGUGACGCCGCGUAUAGGAAGAAGGUUUUCGGAUUGUAAACUAUUGUCGUUAGGGAAGAAAAAAAGACAGUACCUAAGGAGGAAGCUCCGGCUAACUACGUGCCAGCAGCCGCGGUAAUACGUAGGGAGCGAGCGUUAUCCGGAUUUAUUGGGUGUAAGGGGUGCGUAGACGGGAAUACAAGUUGGUUGUGAAAUCCCUCGGCUUAACUGAGGAACUGCAACCAAAACUGUAUAUCUUGAGAACAGGG